CCCAAACCUUUAUAACAUUUAAUCACCACAAGGUCGAGGUCACAUGAUGAAUCCCCAUGAAGAGCUUUUAUUAGCCUCUCCUUUUUCUACUGGAGGACACUGAGGCUCACAGACUUCAGGUAUCAAGUCCCAGGCAACCUGGCUCUUGAGUGGGAUCUUGUGCAGCAGUCCUUCCUGAGGAACCAUGUGUCAUGCUGUCCUGCCAUGUCUUCAAUUCCUGGCGAGGAUUUAGGAGUCAGGAGAUAAAAGGAAAAUGAGAAGAUGUUUGCUCUGUUUUUUUUGUGGUUUUUUUUUGGUCCUAGGAUAAACUCACUGCCUAGGUGUUGAACCCUUGACACCAGUGUACUGUGGG
ensembl:lncRNA